UAUCAAAAUACACUAAAAGGGAAGAUUCCAACAGAAGAUUCCCUCCCUGAUAGUUCAUGGAGUACAUUGAAGGCAAUAUUAAGACAAAAUAUUAAUAAAUUUGGAAACAUUUACUAUAGAUUUGUA